GUGGGGAAUAUUGGACAAUGGGCGAAAGCCUGAUCCAGCCAUGCCGCGUGUGUGAAGAAGGUCUUCGGAUUGUAAAGCACUUUAAGUUGGGAGGAAGGGCAGUAAGUUAAUACCUUGCUGUUUUGACGUUACCGACAGAAUAAGCACCGGCUAACUUCGUGCCAGCAGCCGCGGUAAUACGAAGGGUGCAAGCGUUAAUCGGAAUUACUGGGCGUAAAGCGCGCGUAGGUGGUUUUGUAAGUUGGAGGUGAAAUCCCCGGGCUCAACCUGGGAACUGACUCCGAAACUGCAUGGCUAGAGUACGGUAGAGGGUAGUGGAAUUUCCUGUGUAGCGGUGAAAUGCGUAGAUAUAGGAAGGAACACCAGUGGCGAAGGCGACUACCUGGACUGAUACUGACACUGAGGUGCGAAAGCGUGGGGAGCAAACAGGAUUAGAAACCCCGGUAGUCC
rnacentral:rRNA from 1 species